GAUGAACGCUGGCGGCGUGCCUAAUACAUGCAAGUCGAGCGAACAGACGAGGAGCUUGCUCCUCUGACGUUAGCGGCGGACGGGUGAGUAACACGUGGAUAACCUACCUAUAAGACUGGGAUAACUUCGGGAAACCGGAGCUAAUACCGGAUAACAUGUUGAACCGCAUGGUUCAACAGUGAAAGACGGUUUUGCUGUCACUUAUAGAUGGAUCCGCGUCGCAUUAGCUAGUUGGUAAGGUAACGGCUUACCAAGGCAACGAUGCGUAGCCGACCUGAGAGGGUGAUCGGCCACACUGGAACUGAGCCACGGUCCAGGCUCCUACGGGAGGCAGCAGUAGGGAAUCUUCCGCAAUGGGCGAAAGCCUGACGGAGCAACGCCGCGUGAGUGAAGAAGGUCUUCGGAUCGUAAAACUCUGUUAUUAGGGAAGAACAAAUGUGUAAGUAACUAUGCACGUCUUGACGGUACCUAAUCAGAAAGCCACGGCUAACUACGUG
rnacentral:rRNA from 1 species